rnacentral:rRNA from 1 species
UAGGGAAUCUUCCGCAAUGGACGCAAGUCUGACGGAGCAACGCCGCGUGAGUGAAGAAGGAUUUCGGUUCGUAAAACUCUGUUGUUAGAGAAGAACAGCGCAUAGAGUAACUGUUAUGCGUGUGACGGUAUCUAACCAGAAAGCCACGGCUAACUACGUGCCAGCAUCCGCGGUAAUACGUAGGUGGCAAGCGUUGUCCGGAUUUAUUGGGCGUAAAGCGAGCGCAGGCGGUCAAUUAAGUCUGAUGUGAAAGCCCCCGGCUCAACCGGGGAGGGUCGUUGGAAACUGGUUGACUUGAGUGCAGAAGAGGAGAGUGGAAUUCCAUGUGUAGCGGUGAAAUGCGUAGAUAUAUGGAGGAACACCAGUGGCGAAGGCGACUCUCUGGUCUGUAACUGACGCUGAGGCUCGAAAGCGUGGGUAGCAAACAGG